rnacentral:rRNA from 1 species
UACGUAGGGGGCAAGCGUUAUCCGGAUUCACUGGGUGUAAAGGGAGCGUAGACGGCCAUGCAAGCCUGGAGUGAAAGCCCGGGGCCCAACCCCGGGACUGCUCUGGGAACUGUGCGGCUGGAGUGCGGGAGGGGUAGGCGGAAUUCCUAGUGUAGCGGUGAAAUGCGUAGAUAUUAGGAGGAACACCAGUGGCGAAGGCGGCCUACUGGACGGUGACUGACGCUGAGGCUCGAAAGCGUGGGGAGCAAACAGG